UACGUAGGGUGCGAGCGUUAAUCGGAAUUACUGGGCGUAAAGCGUGCGCAGGCGGUUCGUUAAGACAGAUGUGAAAUCCCCGGGCUUAACCUGGGAACCGCAUUUGUGACUGCAUAGCUGGAGUACGGCAGAGGGGGAUGGAAUUCCGCGUGUAGCAGUGAAAUGCGUAGAUAUGCGGAGGAACACCGAUGGCGAAGGCAGUCCCCUGGGCCUGUACUGACGCUCAUGCACGAAAGCGUGGGGAGCAAACAGG
rnacentral:rRNA from 1 species